GAUGAAGAACGUAGCGAAAUGCGAUAAGUAGUGUGAAUUGCAGAAUUCAGUGAAUCAUCGAAUCUUUGAACGCACAUUGCGCCCCUUGGUAUUCCGGGGGGCAUGCCUGUUCGAGCGUCAUUUCACCACUCAAGCCUGGCUUGGUGUUGGGCGACGUCCUCUUUGGGGACGCGCCUCGAAACGCUCGGCGGCGUGGCACCGGCUUUAAGCGUAGCAGAAUCUUUCGCUUUGGAAGUCGGGGCCCCGUCUGCCGGAAGACCUGCUCGCAAGGUUGACCUCGGAUCAGGCAGGGAUACCCGCUGAACUUAAGCAUAUCAAUAAGCGGAGGA
rnacentral:misc_RNA from 1 species